UUAAUAAAAUUUAAACAUAUCUAAAUUUUUAAUAGUAAUAAGUUUUACUUGUGCAUGGGAAGGGGGUGUGGGGACGAAGCCCUACGGAUUAUUUUACAUUGAAUUAUUAUAGCCCUCCCCCUCAAAAUUACAACCAAAUAUCCGCCUAUGUAGCAUAUACAUCUUAGGGUGGCUUCCUGAACCCUGACACAUACUACAAACACAAUCAACAUUAUUAUAGCUACCCAUAUUAAUUAUUAUAUAUUUAUAUUUGUUUGUAUAUUUGGCACUUUCAAAUCUUUACGUUUUAUUCAACAAUCUAUAGAUCCAGAUGAAUAGGUAGUUAUGAAUUUAAAGUGUUUGCUCCAGAAACCAGAUUGGGGCCCUCAAAUGUACGUAGGCUCCACGCGAUACCAGUGCAAUUGCACCACUUGGUACCCUACGUGGGCGCCACUGCAAUUAUAAAUGUUUUUAUAUUUUAAAUGUAUGUGAACAAUAUUUGUUCACAUGUUCGAGUGUUUAAAGUAUUCAUCACUAUUCACGAUUUUUAUUUUGAUGUCGCCUGUAGUUUAUAAGGAAUAGAAAAUAUCAUACACCAGAACUAGAUUAAAUCGGUGUAACGUGGCCAGUGUGUAACAACGCAACAAUGUGUUAAAGUCUUAAAUUGUAUUCAAUAUAGAAUAAAGAAUACUGGAGACAAUUUGAUGGUUAAAAUUUUAAAUAAAUCAACAAAAACGAUUUAAUAGUAAAACAACGAUGGUCAUGACAGGUAGAGUUUCUAUACUGGAUAACUGGAUACGUCUGCAUUUAUCCGGAUCCCUUAUAUAUGUUACAGUAAAUUACCGAUCACUAGGUAAACCUUGGUUUUACUAGUUAAUGCUAGGUUUUACUGUUUGUACUCAGUAAAUGCUGAAAUUCUAAAUUUUAUUAGGGCUUUUACUAAACACGUUGUGUACAUCUUAGGAUAUACAAAUUGACUUAGUAAAAGCUGCUCAAUACACGACACAUAACAUUUAAGCUGCGUAAAAUUUUGUAGAACAGUGUAAUAUGUGUUAUGCCUUGUGCGCGUAAUAUUUAUAUUGAAUUGUGUUUAAUUAAUGUAAUUUUUAAUUAUAUUUAUUUUCAUUGUUAAUUUGACUUAAAUAUGGCUAAUAUAGAAAGGUUUUAUGACGUUUUAAAUCCAAUAAUUAAAAAAAAAGAUUCUAGUAAUACUUUUUAUUUAACACGUGAAAUGUACAAUACGUAUUUACAAGAAGUGAAGAACGUAAAAACAAUCGCUAACAAAAAAUCAAUUCACUAUCGGAGAUUAAAACGUUUUGAUGUUCUUUGUAUUGGGAAUAAAGACAAACUUAUUUUUCCAGUGGAAAGUGGAUAUGAAGAUAUUCGAUACUACGUAUGUAAUGACGAACUUUUUGAUAUUAUACACGCAGCUCAUAUUGAAACAGGACAUGGUGGUAGGGAUCGGAUAAAUCAUAUGCUAAAAAAAAAAUUAAAAAAUAUUAAUGUGGAAGCUAUAAAUGUGUACUUGAAAAUGUGUGAAACAUGCCAGAAAAAGAAUAGUAUACCAAAAAAAGAACUCGUUGUUAAACCGAUAUUGCACAAUGAAAUGAAUUCUCCUCAAUAUCAAAUUGAUUUAAUUGAUAUCCAAUCAAACCCAGAUAUUGGUUUUAAAUACAUUAUGGUGUAUCAAGAUCACCUGACAAAAUUUGUGAUUAUACGACCUUUACAGUGUAAACGUGCAGAAGAAAUUGCAUAUCAACUUCUAGACAUAUUCACUCUCUUUGGAGCUCCUAGUAUACUACACUCUGAUAACGGGCGAGAAUUUGUAAAUAAAAUUGUUACCAGUAUAUGUGAAAUGUGACCUCAAGUUAAAAUAGUUCAUGGCAAAGCUUGUCACAGCCAAUCUCAAGAAUCGGUUGAACGAGCUAAUCAAGACAUCGAAAGUAUAAUAGCAACUUGGAUGGAAACUAAUGACAAUGCAAAAUGGUCUGAAUUUUUACGAUUUGUUCAAGCAAUGAAAAAUUCAGCAUUUCAUUCAGGUAUAAAACGAUCACCCUAUGAGGCAAUGUUUGGGUGUACAAUGAAAAUGGGACUUGCUACUUCGAGCAUACCGAAAAAUGUGAUAACAGAAUUCAUUAAUGAAGAUGACCUUAUAUCUGUCCUUGAAGACUCUAAAAUUACAAUUUAUAAUGAGAAUGAGGAGACGAAUACUACUGAAAAAAUCAAUGAGGACAUAGACAUUGAUCAUAACCAAGGGAAAAAAAUCGAUAUUGAGAUCUACAAAAAUAAAGGGGUAGAUAUAAAAACAAAAAUAGACAACGAUGAAAAACAAUUUUAUCGAAGAAAGAUAAAAAUGAAAAAGUAAAUGAAAAAAUAUUACUCGAACGUUCUACUAAAAUUAAACGACAACAAGAAGAGUCACUACAAUUUCUGGAAAAACAAGCAAAAAAAAUGAAAACAAUAACUAAUAAAAAUUUUCCUGCUGCAUUAAUUGGUCAAACAGUGCGAGUGAAAAUUCCAGAUUUCGACCGAUGUGAAAUCGAUUCUCGCACAUUAUUGGCUGUAAUUGUUGAAAUUAUUGACGAAGAAUUUUAUCAAUUAGGAUCUAAAGCUGGGACAUUGAAUCAAUUAUUCACUAGAAAUCAAUUUACUUUAUGCGAAGAAAAAUUUAUUUCAAUAUCCGAUGUUCCAAAUACAACAAGCAUACGCCAAGCUGUUGCUCAACUUUCACUAUCAGGUGGGCAAGGAUUUUUGAGGUGUGAUUGCCAGAAAAAAUGUACAACUAAAAAAUGCAAUUGCCGCCAAUCAAAUGUAUUAUGUAAUAGAAGGUGUCAUAAUAGUACAACAUGUGCAAAUAAAUAAAAAUUUUAAAUAAUUAUUUCUAACUACCCAUCAAUUUUACUGAAUUUUACUUAAUUUUUAU